UACGUAGGGGGCAAGCGUUGUCCGGAAUUAUUGGGUGUAAAGCGCGCGUAGGCGGCUUUGUAAGUUAGAGGUGAAAGCCCGGGGCUCAACUCCGGAAUUGCCUUUAAGACUGCAUCGCUUGAAUCCGGGAGAGGUGAGUGGAAUUCCGAGUGUAGAGGUGAAAUUCGUAGAUAUUCGGAAGAACACCAGUGGCGAAGGCGGCUCACUGGACCGGUAUUGACGCUGAGGUGCGAAAGCGUGGGGAGCAAACAGG
rnacentral:rRNA from 1 species